UACGUAGGGUGCAAGCGUUAAUCGGAAUUACUGGGCGUAAAGCGUGCGCAGGCGGUGUUGUAAGACAGUUGUGAAAUCCCCGGGCUCAACCUGGGAACUGCAUCUGUGACUGCAUCGCUGGAGUGCGGCAGAGGGGGAUGGAAUUCCGCGUGUAGCAGUGAAAUGCGUAGAUAUGCGGAGGAACACCGAUGGCGAAGGCAAUCCCCUGGGCCUGCACUGACGCUCAUGCACGAAAGCAUGGGGAGCGAACAGG
rnacentral:rRNA from 1 species